UACGUAGGCAGCAAGCGUUGUUCGGAGUUACUGGGCGUAAAGGGCGCGUAGGCGGCCAGCACAAGUCAGUUGUGAAAUCUCCGAGCUUAACUCGGAAAGGUCAACUGAUACUGUGCGGCUAGAGUGCAGAAGGGGCAACUGGAAUUCUUGGUGUAGCGGUGAAAUGCGUAGAUAUCAAGAGGGAACACCUGCGGCGAAGGCGGGUUGCUGGGCCGACACGUGACGGCUGAGGCGACGAAAGCCAGGGGAGCGAACGGG
rnacentral:rRNA from 1 species